AUGGAGUUUGUUGACAUCCCAACCAAGCAUUUUCUGGAGCAGUUUGUGGCGCUGUUCGGACUUGCUCCACCAGUUGUCUGUUGGAGGCCUGCUCCUGAGGGAUUGUACAUUGUGGGGGUUCAGGUUAACCUUGGUCCUGCGGACAGGGUUCCUCACGUGUACUAUGAAGCUGCAGGAGCCACUAUCCCUGAGGCGGAGCAGGCAGCCUGCCUGAUGGUGAUCCACGCCGUAGCUGCCGAACGUAAUGUGGAAAUUAGGGAUAUUAACUACUACCACCUAGGGUACCUGCAGCAUCAGGUGGAGGAUCUGCGCAAGAAGCUGAUGGAGGCCGAGCAUCUUUGUGCUGAACUGAUGAACAUUGUCCGCUCCAGCGAGAGUGAGGUCGCUUUUCUGGAGCGCCUCACUCACAGGUUCUAUCGUCGCAUUCGCUGCCUGAGGGACACUGUGGCUGCACUGCAGCAUGGUGGUGGCGGAAGUUCCAGCGGCAGUGUGUGA
rnacentral:rRNA from 1 species